GACGAACGCUGGCGGCGUGCCUACUACAUGCAAGUCGAACGCAGUGGGGACGGGUGAGUAACACGUGGGUAACCUCCCAUCAGAGGGGAUAACCCUUGGAAACAGGUGCUAAACCGAUACUGAUGGAUGGACCAGCUGUGCAUUAGCUAGUUGGGGAGGUAACGGCUCACCAAGGCAACGAGGCAUAACCGACCGGAGCGGUUGACCGGCCACACUGGGACUGAGACACGGCCCAGACUCCUACGGGAGGCAGCAGUAGGGAAGCUGCGGCAAUGGACGAAAGUCUGACCGAGCAACGCCGCGUGAGUGAAGAAGGGUUUCGGUUCGUAAAACUCUGUUGUUAGAGAAGCGGUAUCUAACCAGAAAGCCACGGCUAACUACGUGCCAGCAGCCGCGGUAAUUC
rnacentral:rRNA from 1 species